UACGGGGGGAGCAAGCGUUGUUCGGAUUUACUGGGCGUAAAGGGCGCGUAGGCGGCCACCGCAAGUCGGUUGUGAAAUCUCUGGGCUUAACCCAGAAAGGUCAACCGAUACUGCGGGGCUAGAGUGCAGAAGGGGCAACUGGAAUUCUCGGUGUAGCGGUGAAAUGCGUAGAUAUCGAGAGGAACACCUGCGGCGAAGGCGGGUUGCUGGGCUGGCACGUGACGCUGAUGCGCGAAAGCUAGGGAGCGAACGGG
rnacentral:rRNA from 1 species